rnacentral:lncRNA from 13 species
AUGUUUGGAUGAAGCUACAAUAGAAUCUCAUUUUAUCUGUGAGGUUUCAGUUCAUUUUGACCUCAAUACAUAUUUUAACUGCUUGAGCUUAUAUUGUAAGAUCUAAGAGGUUGCUUUUGGACUGAACACACACACACACACACAUUCCUAGUUGCCAUCUAAACCAUGUUUCUGAUUAUGAGCAAAUCUGGUCUGAAACGACACCUUGGUGCACUCCUGUUGCCCAGAGCCUUAUACGGAAUAGAGUGCGAUUUCAGAUGCAGCCUUAGUUCCUGUUGCUGUUAGAGCCUCAUGGUUGAGGGAGCAGAAGGUCUGUCAGCUGCACAGAACCGUCUCUCUCUACCUGUCUCUGCCUGUCUCUACCUGCCCUUUUCUCACGUUUAACUCCUGCCCCCGGGGAAAGCUGUGUUCCCCAGAUCUGACAUCCUGCCUGGCUGAUGUUCUCUACCACACACAGAGACGAGCACAGGGCCUAAACCUCCUGAUGCACAGGAAGGAAGCAGCUCCUGUAAGGAUCAGAGGAGAGGGCCACCGGGCUCAAGGCUGCCAGAGAAAGAGAGAGAGAGAGAGAGUUAGCUCUUCAAACACACCAUUCUCUCCUCAGAAGCACCAAGCACCUCUUUAAUCUGCUCUUUCCUGCAGAGGAGCUGAGAGGAAGGGGAAUAGAGAGACCGGACAAAGAGUUGAUAGGAGAGAAACAGACGGAUGGACAGUGGUGGAGUCUCUUUGGUCAGUUCUUGUGCCUCAAGUAAAGUUCAGGGUUCGGUUCGGUCCGUCCUAAACUGGUGCUGAUGGGUAAACAAAGCAAAAAAUAAAUAUCACAUUAAGGAACAUUUGAAAUCUGAUCCUUAGAUAAAUUAACCACAAUCUGAAUCCUUCAUGUCUUUUAAAGCAGAAAGUAUGACACGUAAUGCUUCCUUUUUAUGGAUGGAUCUACAACACUGAUACCGGAUAAAAACACAACCCCCUCCUCUCCCUCUCUCUAUCUCUAUCUCGCUAUUUCUUUAUCUCUCUCUCUCAGUUGGAUGAACGGCACACUGAUGAAAGGAUAGAUUCAGAUAAAUAUGGUUAGAUUCAUGAAAUUGUUCUGUCUCACCACAUCAGUAGCCUAACUGUACUGUAGCUUCUGCUAUCCUACACGAAUUCAAUAGGCUACCCUAAGAGGAGCGUUAAUGUUUGGGGUUCACCUCUAGAUGUCGUUGUAGAGUAAUGGAGCCACAUAGGCUACAGUUCGUUUACCUGCAUCAGGUUGACCUCAUCUUCUGGGGCGGGGAAAACUUAUAUUUUUCUCUGUGAAGAGGAGCUACUCUGGAUCACCGGGCAUGCACACGGCGGACUGAAGACAGAGAGAUUAACGGAGGAUCUGUUACAGAGGUUUUGAUAUCGGUGAUGCUUGUCAGACUCACCAAUACAGUCUAAUCAUUAGGCUACAGCAGUCCGUGCAGACAGACCACAGCAUUGCUCCGACCAUCACUCUGUCGUGGAGAUACAGAGUGAGACCUGUCCCGUCGAAAACCCCGCUCUACACGCAGGUAAGGCGCUCUGGAAUGUAAAGCGGGAUUGCUGCAAGAUUUGGGGAAAUUCCUGGAGCAUUUAUGCUACAGACACAUGUAGCCUACUUAACAGUAAUUUUAUCUUUCGAAAAGAACU